rnacentral:rRNA from 1 species
AUGACAUUCCGCAACUCGGCUGCUGAAAAUGAGAUAUUGAUAUCGCCUUUUACUGAGGAGGUAUUUGAUGCUACCUCGCAGAUGGAACAUAAUAAAGCGCCAGGUCCGGAUGGGUUCCCGGCUGAGUUUUAUCAAAAGUUCUGGGAGGUGAUUAAGGGCGACUUGAUGGCGAUGUUUAGUCAGUUGAGUAAUGGGGACUUGCCUCUAUUCAAACUAAACUUCGGCAUCAUUACAUUACUUCCUAAAAAAGAGGAUGCGGUGCAAAUACAACAAUAUCGACCCAUUUGUCUUUUGAAUGUAUGUUUCAAUUUUUUUACCAAGGUUGGUACAAAUCGUAUUAUGGGGAUUGCCCCUAAAGUAAUAAGACCUACUCAGUCUGCGUUUAUGCCUGGUAGGAAUAUCUUAGAAGGAGUGGUUAUUCUUCAUGAAUCAAUUCACGAGUUGCAUAGUAAGAAGAUGGCCGGUGUUCUUUUUAAAAUCGACUUUGAAAAGGCUUAUGAUAAAGUUAAGUGGCCUUUCCUCCAGCAAACUCUUCGAAUGAAAGGUUUCGCACCUGAAUGGUGUAGUUUGGUGUCGCAGUUCGUCCAGGGAGGGAGUGUGGGUGUAGUGAAUGAUGAUAUUGGUCAUUAUUUUCAGACGCGAAAAGGUUUGAGGCAGGGAGAUCCUCUGUCUCCAAUCCUUUUCAAUAUCGUAGCUGAUAUGCUUGCCAUCUUAAUUGAGAGAGCCAAGGAAGAUGGGCAAGUGGGUGGCCUCAUUCCUCAUCUAGUUGAGGGAGGCGUAUCUAUUCUACAACAUGCGGAUGAUACCAUCCUCUUUAUGGAGCAUGACCUAGAUAAAGCCGUCAAUAUGAAGUUGAUUCUUUGCCUCUUUGAGGAACUAUCAGGUUUAAAAAUUAACUUCCAUAAAAGUGAGUUGUUUUGUUUUGGGAAAGCUAAGGAUGAGGAAGACCAAUAUAAACAGAUCUUUGGAUGUAAUGUUGGGUCUCUCCCCUUUCGUUACCUCGGUAUCCCAAUUCAUUAUCAAAAACUAAGGAAUUCAGAUUGGUCGCCAGUUGAAUCUCGGUUUGAGGGCAAACUGGGGUGCUGGAAGGGCAAGUUAUUGCCUUAUGGGGACAGGCUGGUUCUUAUCAAUUCUGUCUUAACUAGUCUUCCAAUGGUUAUGUUGUCCUUUUUGGAAAUACCCGUUGGGGUGAGAAAGCGCUUAGACUUCUAUAGGUCGCGGUUCUUUUGGCAAUCCGAAGAGAACAAACGUAAAUAUAGACUCACUAAAUGGAACAUUGUUUGUCGUCCAAAGGAUCAAGGAGGACUUGGUAUUGAAGUUUUAGAACUAAAGAAUAAGUGCCUGCUGAGUAAAUGGCUCUUUAAAUUAUUGAAUGAGGAAGGAGUAUGGCAAGAAUUAUUGCGCAAUAAGUACCUUAAGAAUAAAACUCUUGCGGAGGUCCAGGCAAAACCAACAGAUUCUCCCUUUUGGAAGGGAUUAAUGGGGGUUAAGGACGAGUUCUUCAGUAGAGGUUUCUUCAAGAUUGGUAAUGGUACUGAGACCAGAUUUUGGGAGGAUGUCUGGUUAGGGAAAACCUCUCUUGCUUCGCAAUUCCCAUCUCUUUAUAACAUCGUGCACCACCGAAAUGUGACAGUGCCUCAUGUAUUGGCCCAAACCCCACUAAAUAUUAGUUUUAGAAGGGUUCUCUCGGGGAAUAAAUGGACUUCUUGGUUACGGUUGUGCCGAAAAUUAAUGAUGGUCAACUUAAAUUCUGAGCCUGACCGUUUUGUCUGGAGACUAACAACUAAUGGGUUGUUUACGGUUAAGUCUAUGUAUGAAGAUUUAAUGAAUGAUCAUACUCCUUAUUUGCGGAAGUAUCUGUGGAAGAUCAAAAUCCCCCUCAAGAUAAAAAUCUUUAUGUGGUUCCUCAGUAAUAAGGUGCUUUUAACUAAAGAUAAUCUGGCUAAAAGAAAUUGGAAUGGAUGUACUAAGUGUGUUUUUUGCGGGGAGCAGGAGACGGUACAACACCUAUUCUUUAAAUGUCCUUUAGCCAAAUUAGUUUGGAGAACGGUUAAUUUUACUUUCGAUCUUCCUCCUCCAACCAAUGUUACAAAUAUGUUUGGUAAUUGGUUAAAUGGAGUAGAUAGCCAAUCUAAGGCCUGCAUUUGCAUUGGAGUGUCAGCCUUGUGUUGGUCUAUAUGGAGGGUCCGGAAUGAUAUUAUUUUUAACAAAAAACCUUCUUUUCAUUUCUUGCAGGUUAUUCAUAUGAUGGCGCAUUGGGUUCAGCUAUGGGCCCUUCUCCUGCCGGAGGGGCGGCGGGAUGCCAUGGCUUCUGGAUGCAUACGGCUCCAGACCUCGAAUGCACCGAUACUUCAGGCAACUAGCGAAUCGGUAUCGGAUACCGUAUCUGAUACCGAUACUCCUCCGAUACGCCCCCGAUACGUAUCCAAGGAGUAUCCGUGA